rnacentral:misc_RNA from 1 species
UGUUCCGAGCAGCGACAGCACCUCUGUCUCGCCUCUUCAUUCGUCGGCACGAGCUCAUGCUCGUCCGCGGUCGGUUAUCCUGUGCUGCAUACCUAUCGAGAGGGCAUUUUGUCGGCUGAAACGGUCCCAUCUCCGUCCUGCGUCGCCGCUCCGUGCGGGCGGUCGAUGCGGGAUGGAUCUCAAGGCUCGCGUCGUGUCUCGCACCGCAUCCACCGAUUUUCGGUGUUUGGGCAGGCGAACCACGUCGUAUCGCCCGUCGCCUCGGGUACGGAACAUCACGUGGGUACGCGGCCUCGGCCGCCGAUCGCCACAA